rnacentral:sRNA from 1 species
AACCCCAGCCGGAACUCCGGCCGCAGCCAGCAUGCAGGGCGAAGAGAGCCUCCGGAUCCUGGUGGAGCCCGAAGGGGACAGCUUCCCGCUGAUGGAGAUCAGCACCUGUGAGGCUGAGGCCUCCGAGCAGUGGGACUAUGUCCUCGUGGCCCAUCGUCACACCCAGAAAGACCCCCGGCAGGCGCGGCAGCAACAGUUCCUGGAGGAGCUCAGGAGAAAGGGCUUCCACAUCAAGGUGAUCCGGGACCAGAAACAGGUCUUCUUUGGGAUCCGUGCUGACAACAGUGUCUUUGGCCUGUACCGCACUCUCCUUCUGGAGCCUGAGGGGCCUGCCCCCCACGCCGAGCUGGCCGCACCGACCACCAUCCCGGUCACCACGAGUCUCAGAAUCCGAAUCGUGAACUUCGUUGUCAUGAACAACAAGACCUCGGCUGGUGAGACCUUCGAGGAUCUGAUGAAGGACGGGGUCUUCGAGGCCAGGUUCCCCCUGCACAAGGUGAGGGGUGGGCCAGCCCGGAGAUGGCCUUGGGGUGGGACCCUGGCAUGGGGGCUCUCACUCUCUGUCACCCGAGCCAGGGGGAGGGACACCUGAAGAAGACCUGGGCGCGGUGGAGACACAUGUUCCGCAAGCAGCCGGUUGAUGAAAUCAGGAACUACUUCGGGGAAAAGGUGGCCCUGUACUUCGUCUGGCUGGGCUGGUACACCUACAUGCUGGUGCCGGCCGCCCUGACGGGCCUCUUAGUUUUUCUGAGCGGAUUCUCGCUGUUUGAGGCCAGCCAGAUCAGCAAGGAGAUCUGUGAGGCCCAUGACAUCCUCAUGUGUCCCCUCGGCGACCACAGCCGCAGGUACCGGCGGCUCUCGGAAACCUGCACUUUUGCCAAGCUCACCCACCUCUUUGACAACGAUGGCACGGUGAUGUUCGCCAUCUUCAUGGCCCUCUGGGCCACGGUGUUCCUGGAGAUCUGGAAGCGGCAGCGCGCCCGCGUGGUCCUGCACUGGGACCUGUACGUGUGGGACGAGGAACAGGAGGAAAUGGCACUUCAGCUCAUUAACUGCCCCGACUACAAGCUCCGGCCAUACCAGCACUCCUACCUACGCAGCACCAUCAUCCUCGUCCUGACCCUGCUCAUGAUCUGCCUCAUGAUCGGCAUGGCCCACAUCCUGGUGGUCUACCGCGUCCUGGCCUCCGAGCUCUUCAGCAGCUCGGCCGUGCCCUUCCUGGAGGAGCAGGUGACCACGGCAGUGGUGGUGACCGGAGCCCUGGUGCACUAUGUGACCAUCGUCAUCAUGACCAAGGUGGGGCCGGGAGCGGGGCAGGCCCAAGCUGGGGGGUCCACCGGAGCCCCAGUGAGCACAUUCGGUGCCCUCCUCCGCAGAUCAACAGGCGCGUGGCCCUGAAGCUUUGUGACUUCGAGAUGCCCAGGACCUUCUCGGAGCGAGAGAGCAGGUUCACCAUCCGCUUCUUCACGCUGCAGUUCUUCACCCAUUUCUCGUCUCUCAUCUACAUCGCCUUCAUCCUGGGCAGGAUCAACGGCCACCCCGGGAAGUCCACGCGCCUGGCGGGCUUGUGGAAGCUGGAAGAGUGCCACGCCAGCGGCUGCAUGAUGGACCUCUUCGUGCAGAUGGCCAUCAUCAUGGGCCUGAAGCAGACGCUCAGCAACUGUGUCGAGUACCUGGUCCCGUGGGUGACCCACAAGUGCCGCUCUCUGCGGGCCUCCGAAUCCGGGCACCUGCCCCGGGACCCCGAGCUCAGGGACUGGCGGCGCAACUACCUUCUGAACCCUGUCAACACCUUCAGCCUGUUCGACGAGUUCAUGGAGAUGAUGAUCCAGUACGGCUUCACCACCAUCUUCGUGGCCGCCUUCCCGCUGGCGCCGCUGCUCGCGCUCUUCAGCAACCUCGUGGAGAUCCGCCUGGACGCCAUCAAGAUGGUCUGGCUGCAGCGGCGCCUGGUGCCGCGCAAGGCCAAGGACAUCGGGACCUGGCUGCAGGUGCUGGAGACCAUCGGUGUGCUGGCGGUCAUUGCCAACGGGAUGGUCAUUGCCUUCACAUCUGAGUUCAUCCCCCGAGUGGUCUACAAGUACCGCUAUAGCCCAUGCCUGAAAGAAGGCAACUCUACCGUCGACUGCCUCAAGGGCUACGUCAACCACAGCCUGUCCGUCUUCCACACCAAGGACUUCCAGGACCCUGAUGGGAUUGAGGCCUCAGAAAACGUGACUCUGUGCAGGUUUGGAACUCCCCAUCCCCCAAGAAUGCCCUCUGAACUCCUGACCCCUGACCUCAGGUACUUCCUUACCCCAGAUACAGGGACUACCGCAAUCCCCCCGAUUACAACCUCUCGGAGCAGUUCUGGUUCCUCCUGGCCAUCCGCCUGGCCUUCGUCAUCCUCUUUGAGCACGUAGCCUUGUGCAUCAAGCUCAUUGCCUCCUGGUUCGUGCCCGACAUCCCUCAGUCGGUGAAGAACAAGGUUCUGGAGGUGAAGUACCAGAGGCUGCGUGAGAAGAUGUGGCAUGGAAGGCAGAGGCUGGGCGGGGUGGGGGCAGGCUCUCGGCCCCCGAUGCCUGCCCAUCCCACCCCAGCCUCCAUCUUCAGUGCCAGGAGCACAGACGUGUAGGGCCAGAGCCCGUCCAGAGGCCACCAGGAGCUGAGACAGUGCCACCACCAGCACCUCCCACAAGCCCACUGCUGUGUGUGUUGAGGGGUGCUGUGAGAAGGCUGUGCUCAUGGGGGGCCGCAGGAGUCCCCUGUAUGUUCAGGGCUGUGAGCUGCCGCCCUAUUCCGCCUGCUCCAUCU